GGUUGCUUCAGUGAACAUUCAACGCUGUCGGUGAGUUUGGAAUUAAAAUCAAAACCAUCGACCGUUGAUUGUACCCUACAGCCAACC
rnacentral:pre_miRNA from 1 species